UCCUGGCUCAGGAUGAACGCUAGCUACAGGCUUAACACAUGCAAGUCAGGGGCAGCAUUGGGUAGCAAUACUUCAGAUGGCGACCGGCGCACGGGUGAGUAACACGUAUCCAACCUGCCGCUUACUCGGGGAUAGCCUUUCGAAAGAAAGAUUAAUACCCGAUGGUAUAAAGAGUUCGCAUGUUCUCUUUAUUAAAGAAUUUCGGUAAGCGAUGGGAUGCGUUCCAUUAGAUUGUUGGCGGGGUAACGGCCCACCAAGUCUACGAUGGAUAGGGGUUCUGAGAGGAAGGUCCCCCCACAUUGGAACUGAGACACGGUCCAAACUCCUACGGGAGGCAGCAGUGAGGAAUAUUGGCAAUGGACGAGAGUCUGAACCAGCCAAGUAGCGUGAAGGAUGACUGCCCUAUGGGUUGUAAACUUCUUUUAUAAGGGAAUAAAGUGAGGGACGUGUCCCUUUUUGUAUGUACCUUAUGAAUAAGGAUCGGCUAACUCCGUGCCAGCAGCAGC
rnacentral:rRNA from 1 species